CGAGCACACCUGUUGGGACCCGAAAUAUGGUGAACUAUGCCUAAGGAAACUCUGGUGGAGGCCCGUAGCGAUACUGACAUGCAAAUCGUUCGUCUGACUUGGGUAUAGGGGCGAAAGACUAAUCGAACCAUCUAGUAGCUGGUUUCCUCCG
rnacentral:ncRNA from 1 species